UGGCUCAGAGGUUAAGAGCACUGGCUGCUCUUCCAGAAGUCCUGGGUUCAAUUCCCAG
rnacentral:tRNA from 1 species